rnacentral:rRNA from 1 species
UACGUAGGGUGCAAGCGUUAAUCGGAAUUACUGGGCGUAAAGCGUGCGCAGGCGGUUUUGUAAGUCUGUCGUGAAAUCCCCGGGCUUAACCUGGGAAUUGCGAUGAGACUGCAAGGCUUGAAUCUGGCAGAGGGGGGUAGAAUUCCACGUGUAGCAGUGAAAUGCGUAGAGAUGUGGAGGAACACCGAUGGCGAAGGCAGCCCCCUGGGUCAAGAUUGACGCUCAUGCACGAAAGCGUGGGGAGCAAACAGG